rnacentral:rRNA from 1 species
CGUGCUUGAUCCUUCCAGUAAUCAUAUGCUUGUCUCAAAGAUUAAGCCAUGCAUGUGUAAGUAUGAACAAAUUCAGACUGUGAAACUGUGAAUGGCUCAUUAAAUCAGUUAUAGUUUGUUUGACAGUAUCUACUACUCGGAUAACCGUAGUAAUUCAAGAGCUAAUACAUGCAACAAACCCCAACUUCUGGAAGGGAUGCAUUUAUUAGAUAAAAGGUCGAUGCGGGCUCUGCCCGUUGCUACGAUAAUUGAUGAUAACUCGACGGAUUGCACAGCCAUUAUGCCGGCGACGUAUUAUUCAAAUUUCUGUCCUAUCAAGUUUCGAUGGUAGGAUAGUGGCCUAUCAUGGUGGUGACGGGUGGCGGAGAAUUAGGGUUCGAUUUCGGAGAGGGAGCCUGAGAAACGGCUACCACAUCCAAGGAAGGCAGCAGACGCACUAAUUACCCAAUCCUGACACGGGGAGGUAGUGACAAUAAAUAACAAUACCGGGCUCUAUGAGUCUGGUAAUUGAAAUGAGUACAAUCUAAAUCCCUUAACGAGGAUCUAUUGGAGGGAGAGUCUGGUGCCUGCAGCCGUGGUAAUUCCAGCACCAAUAGCGUAUAUUUAAGUUGUUGCAAUUAAAAAGCUUGAAGUUGGACUUUGGGAUUGGCCGGCCGGUCCGCCUAUGGUGUGCAUUAGUCGUCUCGUCCCUUCUGUCGGUGAUGCGCUCCUGGACUUAACUGGCCGGGUCGUGCCUCCGGUGCUGUUACUUUGAAGAAAUUAGAGUGCUUAGAUCAAGUAUACGCUCUGUAUACAUUAGCAUGGGAUAACAUUAUAGGAUUUUGGUCCAAUUACGUUGGCCUGCGGCUUAAUUUGACUCAACACAGGGAAACUUACCAGGUCAAGACAUAGUAAGGAUUGACAGACUAAGUGCUCUUUCUUGAUUCUAUGGGUGGUGGUGCUUGGCCGUUCUUAGUUGGUGGAGCAAUUUGUCUGGUUAAUUUCGUUAACGAACGAGACCUCAGCCUGCUAACUAGCUAUGCUGAGGUAUCCCUUCGCGGCUAGCUUCUUAGAGGGACUACGACCUUUUAGGCUGCGGAAGUUUGAGGCAAUAACAAGUCUGUGAUGCCCUUAGAUGUUCUUGG